CCCUUAGAUGUUCUGGGCCGCACGCGCGCUACACUGAUUCAUGCAACAAGUUUUGUCCUUGGCUGAUAGGCCUGGGUAAUCUUUGAACGUGAAUCGUGAUGGGGAUAGAUGAUUGCAAUUAUUCAUCUUCAACGAGGAAUUCCUAGUAAACGCAAAUCAUCAGCUUGCAUUGAUUACGUCCCUGCCCUUUGUACACACCGCCCGUCGCACCUACCGAUUGAAUGGUCCGGUGAAAUCUUCGGAUCUGAGAGAUGUCUGAUUAAUUUCGGACGCCUUUUGGAAAAGUUGUUUAAACCUUACCAUUUAGAGGAAGGUGAAGUCGUAACA
rnacentral:rRNA from 1 species